AGGAAAAGAAACUAACCAGGAUUUCCUCAGUAGCGGCGAGCGAACAGGAAAGAGCCCAGCACCGAAUCCCGCGGUUCCGCCGCAGGGAAAUGUGGUGUUUGGGAGGGUCCGCUUAUCCCGAGGUGUCGCGUCGCGUCCAAGUCCAUCUUGAAUGGGGCCACUUACCCGCAGAGGGUGCCAGGCCCGUAGCGACCGGUGCGCGUCUCGGGAGGAUCUCUCCUUAGAGUCGGGUUGCUUGAGAGUGCAGCUCUAAGUGGGUGGUAAACUCCAUCUAAGGCUAAAUACGACCACGAGACCGAUAGCGAACAAGUACCGUGAGGGAAAGUUGAAAAGAACUUUGAAGAGAGAGUUCAAGAGUACGUGAAACCGUUCAGGGGUAAACCUAAGAAACCCAAAAGAUCGAACGGGGAGAUUCAUCGUCAGCGACGCUGGCUUCGCGUCGGUGGGCGAUGUCCCGCGGGGCCUCGCGGCUCGCGCGCGGACACGCUGCCGUGCGUCGAUGUCCGGCGUUCGUCGUCGUGCACUUCUCCCCUAGUAGAACGUCGCGACCCGCUGGGUGUCGGUCUACGGCCCGGGUGCGGUGGCUGACGCGUCGCCGGUAAAACGGCACGCGUCAAACCCCCGGUCGCCCGGCCGGCUGCCCGGCGGUACACGCAAGGUAUCAGGCCGCACAUUACUACUCUCACGGUAGUGCGUCGAGGCCGUCGCAAGCGCCCCGCCACGGUACACGGAGGCUAACGGACCUAGCGCCGUCACCGGUCCUGGCACGCUGUUGGUCGUAACGGAUAACCUUCGACAGGCCUGCGAACGUCCCACCGGGUUUCGUAUCCGGUGGGACCGAUACCGGUCGGCGACGCUACUGCUUUGGGUACUCUUAGGACCCGUCUUGAAACACGGACCAAGGAGUCUAACAUGUACGCGAGUCAUUGGGACUAGCGAUACCUAAAGGCGUAAUGAAAGUGAAGGUCGGCCCUGGUUGUCGACCGAGGGAGGAUGGGCCGCGUCGCGAUGCGGCUCCGCACUCCCGGGGCGUCUCGUUCUCAUCGCGAGAAGAGGCGCACCCAGAGCGUACACGUUGGGACCCGAAAGAUGGUGAACUAUGCCUGGUCAGGACGAAGUCAGGGGAAACCCUGAUGGAGGUCCGUAGCGAUUCUGACGUGCAAAUCGAUCGUCGGAACUGGGUAUAGGGGCGAAAGACUAAUCGAACCAUC
rnacentral:rRNA from 1 species